AGAGUUUGAUUCAUGGCUCAAGACGAACGCUGGCGGCGUGCUUAACACAUGCAAGUCGAACGAAGAGCGAUGGAAGCUUGCUUUCUAUCAAUCUUAGCGGCGAACGGGCGAGUAACGCGUAAUCAACCUGCCCUUCAGAGGGGGACAACAGUUGGAAACGACUGCUAAUACCGCAUACGAUUCUAACCUCGGCAUCGAGGAAAAGAUGAAAGGUGGCCUCUAUGUAUAAGCUAUCACUGAAGGAGGGGAUUGCGUCUGAUUAGCUAGUUGGAGGGGUAACGGCCCACCAAGGCGAUGAUUCAGUAGCCGGUCUGAGAGGAUGAACGGCCACAUUGGGACUGAGACACGGCCCAGACUCCCACGGGAGGCAGCAGUGGGGAAUCUUCCGCAAUGGACGAAAGUCUGACGGAGCAACGCCGCGUGAGUGAUGACGGCCUUCGGGUUGUAAAGCUCUGUUAAUCGGGACGAAAGGCCUUCUUGCGAAUAGUUAGAAGGAUUGACGGUACCGGAAUAGAAAGCCACGGCUAACUACGUGCCAGCAGCCGCGGUAAUACGUAGGUGGCAAGCGUUGUCCGGAAUUAUUGGGCGUAAAGCGCGCGCAGGCGGAUCAGUCAGUCUGUCUUAAAAGUUCGGGGCUUAACCCCGUGAGGGGGUGGAAACUGCUGAUCUGGAGUAUCGGAGAGGAAAGUGGAAUUCCUAGUGUAGCGGUGAAAUGCGUAGAUAUUAGGAAGAACACCAGUGGCGAAGGCGACUUUCUGGACGAAAACUGACGCUGAGGCGCGAAAGCCAGGGGAGCGAACGGGAUUAGAUACCCCGGUAGUCCUGGCCGUAAACGAUGGGUACUAGGUGUAGGAGGUAUCGACCCCUUCUGUGCCGGAGUUAACGCAAUAAGUACCCCGCCUGGGGAGUACGACCGCAAGGUUGAAACUCAAAGGAAUUGACGGGGGCCCGCACAAGCGGUGGAGUAUGUGGUUUAAUUCGACGCAACGCGAAGAACCUUACCAGGUCUUGACAUUGAUGGACAGAACUAGAGAUAGUUCCUCUUCUUCGGAAGCCAGAAAACAGGUGGUGCACGGUUGUCGUCAGCUCGUGUCGUGAGAUGUUGGGUUAAGUCCCGCAACGAGCGCAACCCCUAUCUUAUGUUGCCAGCACUUCGGGUGGGAACUCAUGAGAGACUGCCGCAGACAAUGCGGAGGAAGGCGGGGAUGACGUCAAAUCAUCAUGCCCCUUAUGACCUGGGCUACACACGUACUACAAUGGGAGUUAAUAGACGGAAGCGAGAUCGCGAGAUGGAGCAAACCCGAGAAACACUCUCUCAGUUCGGAUCGUAGGCUGCAACUCGCCUACGUGAAGUCGGAAUCGCUAGUAAUCGCAGGUCAGCAUACUGCGGUGAAUACGUUCCCGGGCCUUGUACACACCGCCCGUC
rnacentral:rRNA from 1 species